AACGCACAUUGCGCCCCUUGGUAUUCCGGGGGGCAUGCCCGUUCGAACGUCAUUACACCACUCAAGCCUGGCUUGGUAUUGGGCGACGGGGUCUUCCCCGCGCCUCCAUUCGAUCGGCUGGACGGUUGGAAUCUCAGCGUUGUGAAUCAAUUCGCUCGUGAGGACGACCGCCCGCGCCGUUAAACCCUUUUAUUCAGGUUGACCUCGGAUCGGGUAGGGAUACCCGCUGAACUUAA
rnacentral:misc_RNA from 1 species